CCUACGGGAGGCUGCAGUGGGGAAUAUUGGACAAUGGGCGAAAGCCUGAUCCAGCCAUGCCGCGUGUGUGAAGAAGGCCUUCGGGUUGUAAAGCACUUUCAGUGGGGAAGAAAGCCUUGGGGCUAAUACCCUCGAGGAAGGACAGCACCCACAGAAGAAGCACCGGCUAACUCCGUGCCAGCAGCCGCGGUAAUACGGAGGGUGCGAGCGUUAAUCGGAAUUACUGGGCGUAAAGCGCGCGUAGGCGGUCUGAUAAGCCGGUUGUGAAAGCCCCGGGCUCAACCUGGGAACGGCAUCCGGAACUGUCAGGCUAGAGUGCAGGAGAGGAAGGUAGAAUUCCAGGUGUAGCGGUGAAAUGCGUAGAGAUCGGGAGGAAUACCAGUGGCGAAGGCGGCCUUCUGGACUGACACUGACGCUGAGGUGCGAAAGCGUGGGUAGCAAACAGGAUUAGAUACCCCUGUAGUC
rnacentral:rRNA from 1 species